AGUGAACGCUGGCGGUAGGCCUAACACAUGCAAGUCGAACGGCAGCACAGUAAGAGCUUGCUCUUACGGGUGGCGAGUGGCGGACGGGUGAGGAAUACAUCGGAAUCUACUUUUUCGUGGGGGAUGACGUAGGGAAACUUACGCUAAUACCGCAUACGACCUACGGGUGAAAGCAGGGGAUCUUCGGACCUUGCGCGAUUGAAUGAGCCGAUGUCGGAUUAGCUAGUUGGCGGGGUAAAGGCCCACCAAGGCGACGAUCCGUAGCUGGUCUGAGAGGAUGAUCAGCCACCCUGGAACUGGGACACGGUCCAGACUCCUACGGGAGGCAGCAGUGGGGAAUAUUGGACAAUGGGCGCAAGCCUGAUCCAGCCAUACCGCGUGGGUGAAGAAGGCCUUCGGGUUGUAAAGCCCUUUUGUUGGGAAAGAAAAGCAGCAGGUUAAUACCCCGCUGUUCUGACGGUACCCAAAGAAUAAGCACCGGCUAACUUCGUG
rnacentral:rRNA from 1 species